CUCACCCUCUCUCACACACCCAACCUCCCACCUUUAGUGUGUGUGGAUGGGACUAAGGUUUUCUCAUUUCUUUCAGAUUGUGCGCCUCCGAGGUGAACGUCUGACUGAAGUGAACGUGUGGCUGGUCGAGAACUCCUCCAAACAGGUUUGUUUGUGUGGCUGACUGGACCUACUACAAGGUGCUUCUUGGAGAUACAUCAGUGAUGGUGAGGCCGUCACAUUACCAGCGGUUGUGGAUUUCUCAAUUCAACCUUUAUAUUGCAGACUCCACAUAAGGUAAAACACUUCCAUUCAGCAAUUGGUGUGCAGUGUCCAGAUUGUCAACAUUUAGUUCAGUAUGAUGUUACUUCUGGCCAGCUUAACCUGAGGAGAAAGUCAGUACAGUACACGAUUAGAUUUUGAAAAGGAAACUGCAAAAUCUCAUGGUGUUGUCCCGACCUCCGUAAAGUGUCAUUAAUGCAAGAACGAAUGUAAGUGUCGUCAAGACCAACACAUGUGGUAACUCCAACGAGAACCAGGCCAAUAAGCAUUGGCUACUUUAAGAAAAUGACUGCCCAAGGAUUAAUUUAUAUAUAACCAAGAAGAGUUACCUAACUAAGGUACAAGAUGCUAACUGAACAAUAUAUUAAACAUGAUAUUAUAUACAGUUAAGAGGUUCAUCUGCCCC
rnacentral:lncRNA from 1 species